rnacentral:rRNA from 1 species
AGCAGCCGCGGUAAUUCCAGCUCCAAUAGCGUAUAUUAAAGUUGUUGCAGUUAAAAAGCUCGUAGUUGAAUUUCGGGGUUCUACCGUUGGUCGGGCUUUGUCUGUACUGGCGUGUAGAAUUUCUACCUUCUGGGGAACCAUCAUGUUAUUAAUUUAACGUGGUGGGAAACCAGGACCUUUACCUUGAAAAAAUUAGAGUGUUCAAAGCAGGCUUAUGUCUGAAUACAUUAGCAUGGAAUAAUAGAAUAGGACGGUGGUCCUGUUUUGUUGGUUUCUGAAUCACCGUAAUGAUUAAUAGGGAUAGUUGGGGGCAUUAGUAUUCAAUUGUCAGAGGUGAAAUUCUGGGAUUG